CGAAAAUUUAAAAUUUCGACGCCGGAAUUUAGCCGAGUAUUACACUUACCGUUAGUCAUCUAGUUAAACUUGUGAAAAAUUAUUUUUAUGACUAAAUUACCCUUUUUAUAAUAAAUAAAACUGAUCUCUUUCCUCUCUCUAUUCUGUCCCAUCUAUCUACAUCUCAUUUUCUCUUGCAUAUCGCCUCUAUCCAAGAAAAUAUUAUGCCAAAAUCCGUAGCCACAAGUGUGUACUUCCUAAAACUCACUAUUGUAAAUCUAUUUGGUUAGAACUAAACCCAUAAAAUUCACAAGUAUAAAUCAUAAGUAAAACCCAUAAUAUGAAUACAUUUUCGUACAAAAGCA
rnacentral:lncRNA from 1 species